GUCUCCAUAGCUCAGCGGAUGGAAUGUGAGAUUCCGGAUCUCAAGAUGAGAGUUCAACUCCCCCUGGAGACU
rnacentral:tRNA from 2 species